rnacentral:lncRNA from 1 species
CCAAAAAACCCCUCGCUUCGUCUCUCUAAAAAAUUCCCAUACACUCUCUGAAACUCCGCCCUAAACCGCCGCCGGGAAUCGCCUCAAGGCGGCGAAACUUCUCCAAAUGAACCCAAAUUUUCACCAGUUAACCCCCGCUGCCUCCUCUAUCCAAAUCCCCAAAUCAAUUCCCUCGAAUUACUCUCAAAAGCCUCGAAUUUCAAAUCUGAGUUUCAACCUAGAAACCCUAGUUUACCCAAAUCACCCCAAAAUCAUACCCCAUAGUCCUCACACCCCUCUGAACCCUAAACCACAACCAAUUCCCCAAAAACCCUAGCCAAUUUCUUCGAAUUUCCAAUCUGAGCUCUUGUGCCCUUCUUCUUUUAGUCAGAGUUAUGGCAUUUGAACCCCAAACUUUCAUUAGCCGACUGUUCUUGUUGAGAACAGUAAUGUCAGUUCAAUGUUCAUAUUACCCAUUUGCUUCAAAGUUUGGUCAAGACUUGUUUUGUUUGGCUUUGUUUGGUCCGUAUGGAAACAAGUUUGGUAACUCUUUUUGCCUAUCUUUUCUCUUUUCCUUCUCUGAGAAUCCCUUUUCAUUUCCUUUCUUUUAUGUUUAGUAGCAUGUUUUAGGUUUUUUUUUCUUUUCAGAAUCUUCUGUUUGUUUUUCUUUGCAUCCAGUAAUUAGUUUAGUCAAAAGCAUAUGAAAAUUUCAUUGUAUAAGGAUUGUUUGUAAUUGCAUAAAUUUAGUUUAAUCCUUAGGGUCGAUACAUGAAAUGAGCUUGCCUGUUUCUCCAUUUUUUCCUCUUGGGUUCAGUAUUGGUUUAGGAGCAUUUUUAGCCUAUCUUUGCAGCCCUAUGUUAAUUUCGUUUGAUUACUGAUACAUUAAUCAUUGAACUUUAAGCUUUGUUUAGGUUUAAUUUAGAUAAACUUUUUGUCUAUCAAUUAGGUUAAUUUUAAUUUAAAUUGCAUCAGCUCUCUUACCUUUAUUUCUGUUAACAUCUUUUGCAUCUUUUGAUUUGUUUUGAUUGUGUUUGACCUGAUUUGAAAAUCAAUAGAAAUCUUAGGGACCUAAUUGAACUAAAAGAAUUUAGGUUAAAGAUGAAAUAUGCAGUAACUUAAAGGGUAAAAUUGGACUUUCACUUAGGCUAAAAUCAGAAGGUUCUAGUAUUUAGGACAACUGUCCCUAUCCUUAGCAAAAUGCUAAUAUUGGAUAAGAAAAAAGGACAUACAGCUGUCAAAAGAUGUUGUACUAUCCUAAAAAUUCAAAAUAUUAGGUUAGAAUAUGUCUUUUUGAUGCUCUUUUGGUACACUCUAUAAGAAGAAAAUAUUCCUUCACUCAUAUACAGACAUUCGCCAUUAUUUGCCUGCAUAAAGGCUUUGAAAAACACAUCAAAUUUUUAGAAACCUAAAGAGCACAAAAAUUUUUUAGCUAUUGUUUCAUUGAAAGCUGAUCGAUUUCCUUGCUGAUUUCGACAAAAGUUAGAACAAGUUUUGCUCUGAAAUUUCUGGAUUCUUAAGUUGCAAGAUGGCUUGAGUUUGAAUGCUGUGAUAUUGCUGGUUUUUGGCUGUUUAGUUUUAUUGAUUUUUGCUCUGUUUUUGCUGCUUUUUCUCCUUGAAGAUUCACAACCUUGUUCUUAUUCUUUGUAACUAGGUAUAUCUUGAGCUUUGAAACAUGAAUAAAAGUUUGUUUUGAAGAGUGUCUUGCUGCCAUGAAGCCUUGGAGUUCAUAUUUACACAUUUUGUUUCUUCUUGAUGUUUUACCUUUAAGUCAUUUGAAUACUGCUCUUUUGGCUUUUCUUAUUAGCUUAUGUGUAGUUACCUUAAAGUCUUGUAGUGAGGAUUCAUAAAAUAACUAGGAUAUUUAGUGUUGAUAGGGUGUGAACAACACCUCUUGCAUAUGCUGAGUUUAGGUUGAGUAGUCCAGUUCUAAAAGAAAAAAUGUUUACUUUCAGUAUUUUGCUACCUCCAUGUGAUUCUGUCCAAUAUUUUUACUGAUUGUUAAUAGGUGAGCUUUCCAUAAGUGUUGGGUAUGGUCAAAACUAGGCUAUGAUUGAUGUGUAAGUACUUUUGGAUGAAGUGUUCAGCAUUACUACAAAUGUGUAAAAUGAUUAUAUGCUUUUGCUGCUUCAUGUUGAAAAAAUGUUAUAGAUAGCGCAACUUAGAACUUAUAACAUACAAAUAAGGUGUUCAAAUUCUAUAGUAAAGUUCAUGUAAAUAACUAUCUUCUAUUUCGAGUAAAGUAUCUCUGUUCUUUGAUGGUUUAUUCUUGAGUUAUCUCUCUGUACGAAAAACUUUGUAAUACUAAACACCCUCGUGUAUGUGGAAGCCUUGGACAUAACAGGGCUAAAAGUCAAUAUUUCAUUUUUUAGGCUUGGUCUCAAGUUAGCCAUCUUAGAGGUUCGUCGUUAAAAAGGACUUUCUGGCCUAUAUGGUAGGCCAUUUGUGCUGUCAUUUUGGGCUUCAGUCUACGCCCACAUCAUGCUAAUCUAGGGCAAGCCCAGUUUUUUUUAAAAGAGGAAUUAUAUUGAAUUGGUCGAAAUGUUUUACAUCAUAUAAAGAUUUACAUGUCCAC